UCGAAUGAAUUGAUUAAGUUAGUGGCGGACGGGUGAGUAACGCGUGAGUAACCCUGCCUCUAAGAGGGGAAUAACAUUCUGAAAAGAAUGCUAAUACCGCAUAACAUAUAUUUAUCGCAUGGUAGAUAUAUCAAAGAUUUAUCGCUUAGAGAUGGACUCGCGUCCGAUUAGUUAGUUGGUGAGGUAACGGCUCACCAAGACCGCGAUCGGUAGCCGGACUGAGAGGUUGAACGGCCACAUUGGGACUGAGACACGGCCCAGACUCCUACGGGAGGCAGCAGUGGGGGAUAUUGCGCAAUGGGGAAACCCUGACGCAGCAACGCCGCGUGAAGGAUGAAGGUCUUCGGAUUGUAAACUUCUUUUAUUAAGGACGAAGAAAGUGACGGUACUUAAUGAAUAAGCUCCGGCUAACUACGUG
rnacentral:rRNA from 1 species